UACGUAGGAGACGAGCGUUGUCCGGAGUUACUGGGCGUAAAGGGUGCGCAGGCGGCUGCGCGCGUGUGCGGUGAAAUCUCCCGGCUCAACUGGGAGGGUGCCGUGCAGACGGCGCAGCUUGAGGGUCGGAGAGGGGCGUGGGAAUUCCGGGUGGAGCGGUGGAAAUGCGUAGAGAUCCGGAGGAACACCGACGGCGAAGGCAGCGCCC
rnacentral:rRNA from 1 species